rnacentral:rRNA from 1 species
GACAGAGGGUGCAAACGUUGUUCGGAAUUACUGGGCGUAAAGCGCGUGUAGGCCGCUCCGAAAGUCGGAUGUGAAAGCCCCGGGCUCAACCUGGGAAUUGCAUUCGAGACUGCAUAGCUAGGAUGCGGAAGAGGGAAGCGGAAUUUCCGGUGUAGCGGUGAAAUGCGUAGAUAUCGGAAGGAACACCAGUGGCGAAAGCGGCUUCCUGGUCCAGCAUCGACGUUCAGGCACGAAAGCGUGGGGAGCAAACAGG